rnacentral:rRNA from 1 species
CAGCCGCCGCGGUAAUACCAGCACCCCGAGUGGUCGGGACGAUUAUUGGGCCUAAAGCAUCCGUAGCCGGUCCUGCAAGUCUUCCGUUAAAUCCAGCUGUUCAACAGAUGGGCUGCGGGGGAUACUACAGGGCUAGGAGGCGGGAGAGGCAAGCGGUACUUUAUGGGUAGGGGUAAAAUCCGUUGAUCCAUAGAAGACCACCAGUGGCGAAGGCGGCUUGCCAGAACGCGCUCGACGGUGAGGGAUGAAAGCUGGGGGAGCAAACCGGAUUAGAUACCCGGGUAGUCCCAGCUGUAAACGAUGCAGACUCGGUGAUGGGUUGGUUUCGAGCCAACCCAGUGCCGCAGGGAAGCCGUUAGGUCUGCCGCCUGGGGAGUACGGUCGCAAGACUGAAACUUAAAGGAAUUGACGG